UUAGGCCAUGAGGAAUGCUUGGACAUCUGAUGUAGAUACAAUUAGCAAUUUGCCUUGUAAUGUUCUAAAUGUAAUUCUAGGGUGCUUGCCUUGGAAAGAUGCAGUGAAGACCAGUAUCUUGUCAAAACACUGGAGGUACAGAUGGGUAACACGUCAAGAACUUGAUUUUAAUGAUGAGUUUUUCAAGUCUUUCAUACAAGAUGAAGAAGCCAAGAUAAUUAUUUACCAAGUCCUAUUAGUCCAUAAAGGACCAAUACUGAAGUUUAGACUCCAAGGUAGUAGUUUUACGAGUUGUCCUGAUAUUGAUCAUUGGAUGCACUUUUUGUCGAAGAAAAAUGUCCAGGAAUUCACCCUUCAUGUAAGCUUAAAAAACGAAUAUCAUUUACGUCAUCACCUUUUCACAUUCCAGCAACUAAGGUAUUUGGAACUCCAACAUUGCUUGUUCCACCCUCCGCUCGGUUUCAAAGGGUUUGAGAACCUUAUUAAUCUCGAUCUUCUGCGCGUCACUUUUGUUCCAUCAAUAUUUACAAAUCUCAUCUCUAAAAGCCCGUUGCUUGAAUGAUUGAGGUUGUGUUGCUGCACAAACUUUGACACCCUUGAAAUUGAUGCCGCUAAUCUCAAAUUCUUUGAGUUUAAUGGAAAAACAAAAUCCAUUUCCUUCAAAAACGCUCCUAUGCUUGAAAAAGUUAUUGUGGGUAUCCUUGGACGACGAAUUUUGCCUGAUACAUCUCCUGUUUUUCCUAAUCUUACGAAGUUCUUCCAUUACAUGCCUUCACUGCUGGAACUGGAGAUAUGCGGUGCAACAUUAGAGUACUUGAUCAAGGGAGGUGUACCAGGGAGUCCCCCAACUGCUUUGAACAAUAUCAAAUCUCUCAAUCUUUCGUCCAUGUCUUUAAUAAACGUCGAGGUGAUUUCAAGUGCAGUUUACUUGAUUACAAGUUGUCCUAAAUUACAAGAUCUUACAAUUGAAUUUUACCCCGUGGGGAAUAUUGUUGAACCUGCUGUACAAUUGCUACGAGCUCAAUCAUCCUCAGACGGUGCUGUGAAGCUUCAAAGAGUUCAUGUGAACAUGUUUACUGGUCUCGAGAUGGAAAUGGAAUUUAUGAAGUUUAUAUUGGCAUCUGCACCUGUACUUGAGGAGAUCUCCAUUUGGAAUUUUACGCGUUAUCUUUUUCGUUCAGGUAAACAAAUGAUCGAUGAGAUGAAAGAAUUCGACAGAGCAGAUGUUGAAUUCAUAUUUGAUGAAGUCGAGUUGGAAGAUCGCGUUGAAUUCAUAUUUGAAGAAGGCGAGUUGGAAGAUCACGUAGAACCCCAAGAAGAAGUCAUGGAAGUGCCAUGAUUUUGCUUACAUAUAUAGUAUUAUUUUUUUUGUAUCACUUCUUGGCUUUGUUUGCCUGUCAUGCCCUGUCUGUCUAAUUAUGCAGUAUAAAGUUGCUUGGCUAAGUUUUAACUACUUCAAGGAUUGCCUCUACUAGUGAUGGUCACUGAGUUAUUAUGUUAUUACGAUUUUGCCCCCCUGUGUUGUACAAUUAUGCACGUUUAAUCUUUAAUUAACUUAAAUGUGUAGUUUUUGCCCAUAAAACUGAAUA